AGAGCCGUGCCAUCUGCAGGACAAAGUAGGAGACGGUAAGCUGUAUUUACAGAUUCCUGAGCCAAAGGAAAACUAUACUACAAGGUGUUCCCGCAGCUGGAAACAUCUACUCUCAUACACACACCGGCCUGCAUGGCCCCUGCGACUUUCCAGCACAGGGGCCAGUCAACCCCAGUCAAGAAGAUCCAGCUGAACAGGAAGGUAAGAGGCCCUGGCUAAACAUUAACGGCAGUGACAAUGAAUUAUAUAACCUCUGAAUGUCUGCCUGCGAGAAAACAAGGAGAAGAGGCAGAACACAAACCAGAGUGUUUAAUUCCACCUUUGCCCCUGCCUCUGCCCCACAGAAAGUACGUGUAUUUGCAUGAAAGAGCCUGGCUGGUGGGACCACAGUGUAAGAAGAAAAACAGAAUCUCCUGAAAGGCCGGAGCUGAGAGGCUGGUGAACACUCCUUCCUAUGCCCCGGCCACAGCUCAGGCGGGACAGGUGGCCUGGGCUCCUCCAAAGGAACAGACUCUGCCACUCAUCCGAGAGCCCCGAGCUCCCAGCUGCCAGACCAGAUGCCCGUGUCCUCGCCCCCAGCACCGGCUCACCAGUCAGCCCCGCGGACGUGGGAGGAGGCAGGCCUGCUUACCAGCCAGCGCCAGGACCCCUUCCAAGGGUCUGAGAAGGGAAUCAAGUCCUCACAUGGUCUCCUGGCUGGGAGGGGGUUCUGAGGGCUGCUCGCUAGACCAGCGGCCUGGCCACUGAUGGGCGAGACCCACACCGGAGUCUGGUCACUCAGUCAGGCCAGCACAAGAGACAGCGUCAAGCCCAACUCGCCCCAAGAACUCAGCGCCUGUGCUCCCCAAGAGCAUUGCACUCAACACUCAGGAGCUGACGGUCUGACAAAAACUCAGGCCAUCUGGAAACUCAGGGUCUAGGGUUCUGGCCCACCAGGUGUCUGGUGGGCAGUUCUCAAAUCCACACCCUGAGAAAAGAGCGCGAGGGCAGAGUCCUCCCCAGGAGAUGCGGCAGAGACAGGAAGGGGACUCAACGGUCACGUCCUCCCUGCUGGGCUGACCCACCCACGUGAGGAAUGGAUCCGAGCUCAGCUAUAUCUCUCCUACAGGAGAGAAUGUUCUAUUUGUAGUUUUAACCAACAGAAAGGAAACUCAAAGGACGAACCGAAACCCAAGAGCGAGCCACUGACUGACGUGUCUCCAUCCCUGUGAUGGAUUCUGAGUCCUUGAGCCGCUGCUCCCACCCGGCAGCCCAGGCGGCCCCCCCCGCCAGGAGCCUGAGAGUCACUCAUUCUCUCAGACAGAAUCCUAGACUACGGUGUCGAAGCCACCGGGAUCGUGGGGCACUCACCAUAGCAAGGCUGCUGCAUCCUGCCUCCGAGUCCAAUAGCUGUGAGCCUGGCCAAGGCUCGCGGCCCCUCGUGGAUGCUGAGGCCCUUCUUCCGACAGGGCCUCUGUCUCUGAGGGACAGGGCAAGAUUCAUCUGAAGAGCUCAGAUCUUCGUAUUUUUCUGUGGGUCAAACACCAAAAUUUAGACAGUAUGUUCAGUGAUGGACUAAUUUAGUAAUCCUCAUAAUGAACUGAAAUAAAGAUCAUUGU